ACUAACAGCAGGGGCUCACCCUGCUCCCCAGAUUCAAACUGCCAAUCUUUCAGACGGCAAGUUCACCAGCUCAGCGGUUUAACCCACUGCACCACUGUGAGCUCCCUAUAUAUAUAUAUCAUUAAGAUGGUGAAGACUGUAUUAUGUAAUAUGAGACUUAAAUUACAUAUGUGUACUUUUCUAGAAACCUGACCAUAUUAUUGUGCUUGUGGACAUAGAGAUUCAUAUUUAUAGUGGUUUUUAUAUUUACAGUGGUUUUUCCCUCACCGUCUAAUGCACAUGCAGAUACUGCACAAAUUCUACACACUACAUGAGAAAAUUCAGAGUAAAUAGAGAAAUACCAAUGAAAAUAGAUAUUGAUUUCAUAUACACUUAUUAAAAACUAGCUGCAUAUUAUAUUCUUCAAGAAAUAAAUUUGAGGAUAUUGGGCACAUUGUCAUUAAAGAACAUUCUAACACAGCAAAAAUAGACACGAGCAAAAGGAUUUACCACUCUUGAACUGGAACAAUCACACAUUUAUCUAAUUUAUAUUCAGUGAUAUACAAUGAUCUAAGCAUGACUUCUAUUUUGAUUUUACAUCUUUAUGCUAUUGCUGUAAAAUAGUUUUUAUAUUUUUGCUGCUGUUUUAUGCCAUGUAAUUUGAAAUCUUGCAAAUCACAUUGAUAAAGCAAACUACAGACUGUAUCAGUUGGGUGCAUUCAUUAAGGCAAAACAAUAUAAUCAUAUUGAAAUGACCCCCCAAAAAAGUCCUGGUGCUUUGUGCAUUUACACUAAUAAAUAUAGGCAAUACACUCAUUGAGUUCUUGUCUUCAUUGUUUAAUGCUUGUUUGCAAAAAUCUAGAUCCUUUUGCCAGAGUUCCAUGGUGAAUCUUCCAAUGGACACAAAUAUUUAAUUCAAGGGUGUUGUUGAUUGUGUCUAAUGUCAAUGAAGAAGCACAUCAUGGAUUUCUGAGCCUGCUGGGCCUGCAAGUUGGCAUGAGAUUUUAAGUCCUGAAACUAAGCAGUCUCUGUCUCCAACAAUUAGUAGUGAAGGCCACAUUCCAGAGAGGGGUCCAGAUGCUGCUGACAAGCCUAUCUCUAGGAAAGCAAGUUCAGAGCAUGCACUCCCAGGUGGCAAGGUUAAUGAGCUGUGUUUUUGUAAACUUCAUGUUGCUGAACAGACUUGGCAAAAGUCAUAGUGCUUGUUAAAGAAAAAGCCAUUAUCAGAUAUUCAGGGAAGACAGCAUGAUUUCAUGGCUGUAUUAGAGAAACCAGUGGCAAUUUCAAGCAGUCUUGUCAAUGUUUGAAGCAACAUCUCUUUCCAAGUCUUAGCUAAGCCUGCUAAGGGAAAUCUAGGUCCAUGUCUUAAUUUGUUCAUGUUCCAUGCUUUCAAGUUUGAGUAAUUAUUCUUGGAUUUGUGUAUCUUGGGUUUUUUUUAAAAAAAAUUCUUGUGCUGGAUGCCCUGUUGUUUUGGGUUUCUGAGACUACUUUUGUAUCUUGAAUCUUAUGAACUAUUUCCUACAUUAAGACUUUGAUUUUCUUUUUUUACUAUUUUUGCUGAACUGCUUUUUAUAUCCUCUUCAAUAAAGUGCUUUGCUGAUUUACCUUGGACUGAAGUGUGGUGGUUAUGUACAGGGGUGCUUCCCACCCUGGAGUACAAAAGGUAUGAUCUUUGUGAAGACUACAGCAAGAAAGUGACAUCAUCUAGCCACUCCCCAUUUUGAAAUGGAAGUUCUUGUGAUUAAGAAACUACUUUCGGCUCUUGUUCUAUAGUCUUCAGUGUCUCACAGAAGAACACAUUAUAUAUUAUUUCAUAAGAUUAAUUGUUCUGGAGGAAAUGUGAUGAAGAAAUUGGAGUAAGGAGGACAUCAAAAAACGAAGAACCAAAAUGUGGAUUGGCUCCAUACAUGCUGGUUUUAUUUGGCUGUAACACUGAACUAUGGCAUAGCAUAAUGCAAAUAGUGUUUAAUUUGACCAGUUCUGCAUUUUCAAUCUGGUUUAUGAGAAGGAAUUCAAAAUAUUUGGAUCAAAUGUUAACAUGAUGUGUUAAUAUGCUUGAAUCCGGGUGAAGAACAGGCUUAAGGAAGCAAGCCAUAAUCAGAUAAUGAUUUGUGAUCCUGACACUUCUCUAAAUGACAGCAAAGUUUAUUAUGAUGCUGGUCAUACACAUAACAGAAAGCUUCCAAUAUCUUCCUUGUGGGUUGUGGAUGUUAUGGGAAUAUGCUUAAACACAGUUUAGCUGACCAAUAAGAAACAGUUCACAGAAAUAAAUAAUUCUAGUUUAAUAUAUUUGAGGUUUAUAAGCUUCUUCAUAUGCAUCUGCACUGAUAUGGUUCCAUAUUAAAUAAUACCUCUUGUGCUAUCUUGUAUCAUUCUUUAGAUGUAACCUCCAUGUUGCCCAUGCCAGUUUUAAUUCAUUUAGACCUUCCUUAAUGAAUUAAUUUUUGUACAUUUGAAUAGCAAGAACACAUAUAUUGUUAGUCUUGACAGCUUCCUUACUUUGGAAACACACCAGAAUGUAUGCCUGAAAUUCUUUCAGAAGCAUUGUCAAACAUCCAGGGACUCAGUUUUGUAAGUGUUGGCAAGACUUCAGUCAGGAAUGAGAUCUUUUUAUAUAAUUCUAAUCCACUUUUAAGGAAAAUAUCAACAUGACAUAUGUAUUUAUCUGAAAUAUAGUGAAUACCAUUCAAGCAAGCAUGGAAAUGCAAACUAUAGGAGUAAAAUCAAGCCAAAAGUGUUUUUAUUUUUAAAGUCUUAAAAUGAUUUGCUUAUCACUUUUUAUUGCAGUCAGUGACUGUUGAUGAAUAUCCAGUAUCAAUGAAUACAAUGUUUCAAUACUCAUUACAAAAUUAGGGAGCGCCAGUGAGUAAUUUCUUAAGUGUUUCUAAAAUAUUGUAAGUAUUUGUUUCGUUACUAUAAGGAAAGUAACGAAUUGUUUGUUGCUGUUUUGUUAAGUUGCACGUGGUGGGGAGGGAGGUCUUCUGGGGCUCCUUUCUCACUCAUUUUUGAGCUAUUGGGGUGAAACUUGCUACAAUGGUGGAACACUAAAUAGAAACUGAACAUAUUAAAAACUAUAAGAUCCUCAAGAAUGUGUGUAUCCCUCUGCAUUAAAAGAGUAUUGAAUGGCUUAUAGAAUUAGAGUUCAAUUUCUAACAAAUUUCUUUAGCCACCUCUAUGUAUGCUGAAGUCUUAGUUUUUCCUCCCUCUGUAUCAAAUCAUCCUAUCCUUUUUAAGGAACCUGAAAUUCACAUAGGCAAUAUGCAACAGAUAUUAGAUUUUUUUUCUUAUGUUAUUUUUGCAACUUACCCUUCUCAUGGCUAAUGUACUUAUAAGUAACAGCCAGAAAUUAUUUUAUUUAAGUGUUUAAAACUUUCAAUACUCUGAUUUCUUUCUUAGAAAAACAAGUUGCACAACAGCUACCAAUCACUUGCACUAAUGAUACUUUUCUCAUAAGGGCAACAUUGGAUAAGCAUUUAAGGCGCAUCAUGUUGUUUUAGGUUUUCCAAUAAUUUCAUUUUAUGUCAAACAUUAUGAUUUUUUCCAGGCUACUACUGACCUGAAGGUUCUUCAAAUAUAGCACCACAUCAUAAAACAAUAGUGGGUUACCAAUUCCAAAUAAUAAAAGAUUUGUUUUAUGCCUUUUAUGGACUUAUCACUCCUUUAAUCAAGAGUAUAUUUAUGCCUGAACCAGAAAAUGCACAGUUGGUUGGCAACUCAAAUAUGCCAGACACUUCACUGUCUAUGUUACCACUGCAUUUUCUGUGAAUAAUGUGGCUUAGAUUUGUCUUUCUUGAUAAAGAUGGGCAGUCACCAAAAGAAAUUGAAAGAGUACAUAUGGUUGCAUGCAGAUUGAACUGGCAGCAAGCCAAUUUCCUAGCUGGUCUAUCAAGCCUGGAAGCAGCAUGUAUAUAUGAAUGCUUGCUCUGCUUCCAGAAAAUGAGAAGACAAACAUGGAUCUUAAUUAGAGUUAGAGAUUUUUUUUCUGGCUUGCUUUCUAUGACACCCAUAUUUCUGCAGUACUAGGUUUUGGUCAAUUCACUUUCUAUAUUUAUAUGGAAAUACUUUCCAAAAAUCUACACAAAUAUUUGCAUGUCUUUUUGUGUAUGGAUAUUGUAUCCAUAUGCAUAUUUGUGCAUGAUGUUCCAUUGUAUCUCCUUUUGGCAAGUAUAUUUUUCAAUAUAUGCUGCCUAAUAUAUUCUCCCAAAUCCCUAUAUUUUUAUAAAAGUUUUUCUAAAACAUCAACAUAUAUGCACACUGUUAUUGGAGAACUGAAUCACAUAGUUUGAAGAUGUGCUAACCCAAAAGAUAAUUGGUUUUCUAUUGAUAUAUUACUUGGGAUGAGUAUAAACAGGCUCUUAUACCAGACCUCUAAAACAUGAUGAGCAACAUAAAGGAAAUGAUUCUAACUUCUGACAGGUAGAGAGAAUGGUUGUCUCCCAAAAAGAGCUCUUUUGUGUAGCUAAAGGCAUCUCAUUUCUGCAAAUGCCUGGAAGCAGAAUUAAAACAUAGAUUCUGCAUAAGUAAUUAAUAUGGUGUCACAGUAUUCAGCAAUACACAAGUUCUUCUCAUAACAUUUAUUCACAAAUAAGUUCCAUUCAACAAAGUUUCCCAAGAACAUUAAUUACAAGUUCCUUCUUGUAUUGAGUAUGUAUAGGAGAUUAAUGGUGAAUAGCUGAUUAAUUUUUCCUAGAUAGUCUCUCUUAGAUCAUAAUCAUACUUGAAAGCCACAUCACGUUCAGUGCGAGUUACGUCCAAAAGUGUUUAGGAUGAUAGCCGUUAUUAUCCCAAAGUCAUUUUCUGUCUGUGGAUGGAGGAAAUUACAAAUUCCCUACCAUUUUUAUUUCUAUUUUUUUUUAAAUUGCAAGACAACAUUCCUUUGUUAUUUAAAGUGCAAUAUUGACCAAGAAGCAAUAAAAUGGAUUGAACCUGCAGACACAGAUUUCAACAAGAGGAAGAAGACUGGUGUUGCAACUAUAUUUGAUUAUGUAAAGGAGAAGAAUGUGAAAAGACAAUACAGUAAACACUAUAUUAUGUGUUAAGUGUUCUAAAUUAAAUACUAUUAUCUUCAGUUAAAAGGGUCACAUAUAAAAUAAUGGGAUGGGGGAAUCAUGACUGGAGACCAUGAAUACCCAUCCACUGUCAGUCAGCGUAGAAAAGAUUAGGAAAUCUUCUAUCAUGGUAUGCUCCCUCUUAAGUAUACAAGAUGUUUACUAUGCCUUCCGCUUUAAACUGUAGAAUGGUAAUUCUAGAUAAAAUGUGUUGUAUGAAUGCAAGAAAUGAAGAGAUUAAGAAUGUUAUUGCACGAGGCAUAUAACCCAUGUUGGGGGAUCCCUAACCAUGAAUGGAAAAAUGUAUUUUCUCAUGAAAUCAUCUUAAACUCACUGUGAUUUGUGAAAUUGCAGAUUUCUCACAGAAAAAGGGGGCGCAUGGACAAAGACAAGGAAUGCAUGUGUUGAGAGGAGUUACACCCCAGUCGCUAUGGUAGUUAAAAGUGUACUGAGCUUUCUCAAAAUACUUCCACAAAGGUUUGCUGUGAUAACAACAGGAGCUAUCCAGCCAUACUCCAAUCUAAAGCAAGAUUGAUUGGCAAUGCCAGAACCCAUUUUAGUAAUUUUGUGUGAUAAUGUCCUGACAGAGCCGGUCCAACAAUGAGGCGAAUUAAGCGGUCGCUUUGGGCGCAAAAUAUACGGGGGCACAGUCGAGACUGCUUUUUCUGUUUAUUUGUUGUAAAACAUGAUGUUUUGGUGCUUAAUUUGUAAAAUCUUAAUGUAAUUUGAUGUUUAAUAGGCUUUUCCUUAAUCCCCCCUUAUUAUCCAACAUUUUCACUUAUCCAACACUUUUAUUUUUCAGUAAUUGGUUUGGAGGGGGGGCGCCAAAACCAACACUUGAAAAAUACCUAGGGCCAGCUCUGUGUCCUGACCUAAAAUACUUGGUGCCUUCUAGCAUUUGUUAACCAAUUAACAAAUCGAGCAGUCAAUUCAUCAUAAACAUUGGCAACAGGAAACUACUGUUUUUAAAAAUGAUGUUCACAUUUUCUUGCAUGCUUAUUUCAUGCAAGACAGUAUGCUAAAGUCAGUUAUUUCUACUGGCUAAUACUCUUCAAUAACAGAUCAUCUAGCCUGAACCAAGGGAUGCUUUUCCUUAAAGCCAUGAAUAUAGAAUCUUCUGAUCUAGUGUCUGCUUCACAUAAUAAGCUGCUAUAAGUAUACAAAAGACAGUUUGCAAACAAAACUUUUUAUUGCUCGGAGGAAUCCCUAUGGUAACCGAGGCUUCCAGAUAUCCACUUGCCAGCCUUCAUCUCAUGUGCCUCUUGUUCAAAAGGAGCUUUCUUCUUUCAUAAAUGCAUGUUUUCCUGUUACCUAACUAGUUAGAGUCAAGGCUGACUGUGAGAGAGGGAUGUGGUACUCGAAGCAUUAGUGGAAACAAGCAAUCUCUUGCUAAUUAUCCUUAACUGAUUCUAAAUGGCAACACUGUCAUGGCACAGCAAGCAGCAAAGGGGGAGAAAUGGGCUGACUUUGCUAUAUGCAAGAAUGAAAAGUAACUCCAAUAAAAGCAAUUUUGCUGUAA